GCUUGACUGGAACUUGAUAUUGGGUUCCGAUUUCUUUCGCGCAGUAUAGGUGGGAGGCGGCGAUAGGGCAUUUUCGGAUGUUCAGGAGCCANACAGUGAGAUACCACUCUUAAGAAAUUAGAAUUCUAAUAAGACUCNCUUGAAUCAGGAUCUUAAACAGUGUCAAGUGGCUAGUUUGACUGGGGCGGUGACCUCCCAAAAGGUAACGGAGGUGUACAAAGGUUCCUUCAAGCUGGACGGAAAUCAGCUGUAGAGCGCAAAGGCAUAAGGGAGCUUGAUUGUGAGACCAACAAGUCAAACAAGGGCGAAAGCCGGUCUUAGUGAUCCGACGGUACCGUGUGGAAGGGCCGUCGCUCAACGGAUAAAAGUUA
rnacentral:rRNA from 1 species